rnacentral:lncRNA from 1 species
GCCAAGGCAGGCAGAAGACUGGAAGCCACUCUGAAGGACAGCCUGCCUCUUCCCGAGUCCAGGCUGCUUGGGUUAUCAAGGGUGUUCAGAGCAGAGCACACAAGAGUUUGGCUCCUAGCGUCCGGUGUUUGGGUGAAGGCUGGGAGGCAGUUCAAGGAAUCUUCCGGAACACUGGAGGUUCUACGAUUGAUCCGGGCAAACGGGUGAGCUGUGGACAUUCACUCAUCAAGCUGUGCUCCCGAGUCUGUGCAUAUCACCGCUGCGGGACCAAGGCCCCCCUCUUCCGACCUCUUCCCUGUCCUUGCUGGCAUGUGGCCACACCCUGCUCCCCGCAGUCACUCCCACCUUCACCCCCACGGCCUGCUUCCCAGUGCCCCCCUGCCUGCCCCCCUCACCGUGUGCUCCCCACCCAGACCCACAGCCAGGACCGGGCUCUCAACACCUCUCCCCGCCAGCUCAGUCACCCCCAUUUCUGCUGUUCCCAGCCCCCAUCCCAGUCUAAUUUGCCCACACACACUGGGCCCUGUGGGAAGGUGGUAAUUAACCCUGGGUCCCGGCAAGCUUCCAGAGCAGGGACCACAUUUCAAAGGUCAGGGAAGCAGGCGAACAGGAAACGGUCAGGGGCAGGUUUGGGGGGCGGAGCAGGAAAGAAGAAAUCAGUUGCAAAAGAUAAAAAGGAAAUGAGGUGGUUGGUGUCAGACACCUUGGAGGACAAAGAAACCAAGGAUGUGGGCUCCCAGUCUUCAAGAAACAGGGAGAUGGGCUGGGGGGGGUGUCCCUGCUGUCCCCCACAUGGGGGGCCAUCGCCCGGACAGGGGACCACUACAGCCCUGGGACAGCGGGAGGGCACGCAGGCCGUGCCAAGGACAGGACUGAACCUCUGUUUCGCAAAGAGCCUGGGCUCGGAAGGUUCUGGAAGGCCUGGGGGACAAACAAAGGGCCAGGCCGUGACCCAAGCCUGCUGCCUGCAGAGGGACCCCUGGAUGUCAGUCAGGGCAGCCCAUCACCCCCAAGGGCCCCUUUGAGGGUCCGGACCCUGAGCCAGGUGACUUGGAACCCUUCCAGGAAUGAUC